rnacentral:rRNA from 1 species
CGCAAGAUUAAAACUCCAAGGAAUAGACGGGGACCCGCACAAGUGGUGGAGCAUGUGGUUUAAUUCGAAGAUACGCGAAGAACCUUACCUAGCCUUGACAUAUUUUAGAACAUUUUAGAGAUAGAAUGGUGCCUUAGGGAGCUUUUUAUACAGGUGCUGCACGGCUGUCGUCAGCUCGUGCCGUGAGAUGUUGGGUUAAGUCCCGCAACGAGCGCAACCCUCGUCACUAGUUACUAACGGUUCGGCCGAGGACUCUAGUGAGACUGCCUUCGCAAGGAGGAGGAAGGUGAGGACGACGUCAAGUCAUCAUGGCCCUUACGGCUAGGGCAACACACGUGCUACAAUGGUUGGGACAAUGAGACGCAAUACCGCGAGGUGGAGCAAAUCUAUAAACCCAAUCUCAGUUCGGAUUGUUCUCUGCAACUCGAGAACAUGAAGCUGGAAUCACUAGUAAUCGUAGAUCAGCUAUGCUACGGUGAAUACGUUCCCGGGUCUUGUACUCACCGCCCGUCACACCAUGGGAGUUGAUUUCACCCGAAGCGGGGAAGCUAAACUGGCUACCCUCCACGGUGGAAUUAGCGACUGGGGUGAAGUCGUAACAAGG